AAACCGUUCAGGGGUAAACCUAAGAAACCCAAAAGAUCGAACGGGGAGAUUCAUCGUCAGCGACGCUGGCUUCGCGUCGGUCGGCGAUGUCCCGCCGAGCCGCGUUCUUCGAGCGCGGUUCGAGCGCGGGCACGCCACCGUGCGUCGACGUCCGGCGAUCGUCGUCGUGCACUUCUCCCCCGGUAGAACGUCGCGACCCGCCGGGUGUCGGUCUACGGCCCGAGUGCGGCGACUGUCGCGUCGCCGGUAAAACGGCACGCGGCAGACCCUCGGUCGCCCGACCGGCUGCCCGACGGUACGCGCAUGGUAUCAGGCCGCAUACACGCGCGCCUUGUUGCGCGCGUUGUGCGUCGAGACCGCGGCAAGCGCGCGCCCACGGUACACGGCGGUACGGACUCAGCGCCGUCCCCUGUCCUGGCCCGCUGUUGGCAAACGCGGUGCACACCUUCGACAGGCCUUCGAGCGCGCGCGCGCUCUCCCCUUCGCGGGGGCGAGCUCGCGCGCGGAUACCGGUCGGCGACGCUACAGCUUUGGGUACUCUCAGGA
rnacentral:rRNA from 1 species